rnacentral:lncRNA from 1 species
AACAGUGGCAACUUGUUCGGGUAUCCUUCCCCAGUGUGGAAGCUUUAGUUCUUUUGCUCUUUGCAAUGAAUCUUGCUGCUGCUCACUCUUUGGGUCCACGCUGCGUUUACACUGUGUUUAUGAGCUGUAACACUCACCACAAAGGUCUGCAGCUUCACUCCUGAAGCCAGCAAAGACCACGAACCCACCAGGAAGAAGGAACAACUCCAGACACGCAGCCUUAAGAGCUGUAACACUCACUGCCAAGGUCUUCAGCUUCACUCCUGAGCCAGCCAGACCAUGAACCCACCAGAAGGAAAAAACUCGGAACACAUCCCAACAUCAGAAGGAACAAACUCUGGACAUGCCGCCUUUAAGAACUGUAACAACGCAAGGGUCCGCGGCUUUAUUCUUGAAGUCAGUAAGACCAAGAACCCAAUUCCGGACACGUUUGGACCCAGAUGGAAAGGCAGCUCAACAUCUGAGAAGCCAGUCUUACUCCCUGCAGGCAACAGCUGCUUCCAGAAAACAGCCCUAUUACUUCACCAAAGUACAGUUCCUACAGGAAGAUAAUGAUCUGACCUAACCUACUAUUGGCUGAAGGAAGGAGAAAAGCAGCUGAAGAUGUCUGUUGAGUGAUUACCCUCAUAAUCCGUGACUAAGAACAUCCAAAUCAGCAUGGCUUCUUCCUGUCUGAAAUUAUUACUACUUAGGGUUUUUCACGUGUUAUUUCAUUUAUUGAUUAUUCUGUUUUAAACUUGCAAGACGUAUUGUCUCUUCAGAAAUAAAACUUUAUCACUUGCUUCAUCAAUUCAAUUAAUUUCACAAUGCAUUGAUUAAACUCCUACGUAAGCAUUUCAGCAUUUUAAAACAUUUUUAAAAAGGUAAAAUCAGGACUGUCAUGUGAAUGAUAUGCCAAAGGUUUUA